CUGCAGAAGGUAAGAUUCGCGAAAAUUUAUACCAACAAAUGGCAAAUCUUGACAAAUUUGCGAAAUUUUAUACUAACACAAUUAAACCCCUAUAUGGUAAAAGAGUUAUAAGUGUUUGAAAAUCAUAAAAAUGGUUGCCAAUUUGAAAAAUCCACCUGAAUCCUACAGAUAGGGUACUGCCUAUAUUUUUGUACCUGAAUUUUUGUGUUGUGUGUUAGUAUGCAUGAAUUGUAUGCCAAAAUGUGCAUGUAUAGAUUUAAGUCUUACAAUUUGGGUUGAAAUAAAUAAUAAUAGUCAAUAAUUAUGAUUUUAAGAAUAGUAACGGAAGUGAGAAUUCAAAAAUUUAAUUUUUUUACACUUUUAUGCUUGCUGAAAGUUAACUAAGCGGGGAGCCUGCAAGGUUUUAACACAAGGAUUAAUAAGCUGAGGUCAAGAAUGAAGGAGUUUAUUACACACUGGGGUUUCAUGUGCGAUGUUUGUUUGUAUGUCACUUUAACAUUUGUUCUAUACACAUUAAAUUUGGAGAAAUAACAAACCUUAGCAACAACCUACCCAUGCUCAUGGCACUUCAUGUAAGUGGAUGUGCCCAUGGUAAACAAAAUGAUUGUUUGUACACUGGAAAAAGUUAUGAGCUUUUUAACACUAAGAGAAGGAAGAGGUACUGCCUUAGGACUUUUUUUAGAAACAAUAGAAGGCAGAAAGAAGCUCUUUAAUUUGUAAUAAGAACCUAGCUGUACAUGCAAGGUGGUGAAAACAAUUAUAAGAAUGUUUAUUAGGCUUAUACACUUGUUCCUUGUUCUUUUUAAGUGCUCAUGCCUGAUAUUUAUUAAUUGUUACCAAAGUUUUUGUCCAGGCAUGAGGCUGCCUGUUAUAAGAUCGUAUUUUUAUGUUACAUAUGGUUUUGUGAAACUACCAGAAAAUUUAUCAUGACUGAAUACUGGUAGCUCAAUCUUGUUGCUCUUUAGGUGUACAAGUUUUUAUGCAUACUGUUGGCUUUGUAGGUGUAGUAGUUUUUUAUUAUUGUUAUGCUCUGGAUGUUAUAGGGGUGCAUGUGGACAAUAAUCAAAAUUUAGCUAUGUAUGCAAACUGGAUUUAGUUUCUCUUUUAAGAUGUUUUUUAUCCAAAUUGACUUGUAUGUCUCAUUUUCAUUAAUAUCACUAAAUUCUGGUAACGUCAUCUAAAGAAUUUUAUGUUGUGCAGUGUAUUGUGUAAAAUAAACCUGAACAGGCAGUUUGGGAUAAGUUUGAUUGUUAGGUGAUACUAUUACCAUCUUCACAAGAUGAUUGCAAUAAUUGUUAAUGGGCUGAUACACUACCAUUUUUAUGAGUUCUAUUUUAUUAGAUAUCCAGUUGAUCUCAUUGUGUGCUGUGCUCUCGGUGUUGACAUGUUUGAUUGUGUAUACCCAACAAGAACAGCGAGAUUUGGAAGAGCACUUGUUUCUACCGGUGAAAUCAAUUUAAAAGAUAAAGAAUUUGAAAAUGAUUUUCAACCAAUUGAGCAAUCUUGUAAAUGUAUUACUUGUUGUAAUUAUACCAGAGCUUCACUGCAUGCACUACUUCAGGGUGAUUCUGUAGUUUGUAGCCUUUUGACUGUACAUAAUUUAUACCAACAUUUGAAACUCAUGAAGAAUAUUAGAGGUAGCAUCAUUAAGGGUUACUUUUCAGCUUUUGUAAAGGAGUUCCUACAGAACAUGUUUAUUGAUAAAAAAAUUGAUGAUUGGAUUAUUCAGUCCUUGGCAUCUGUUAACAUUUUGUUGUAAUUAAUGUUGUUAUACUUGCAGUAUAGGGUUUUGCCCUGUCCUAUGACCUUAGGUGUUGUUGGCAUAAUUUUUUAGUUAUAAGUUGCAUGCGGAUAUUGAA